rnacentral:rRNA from 1 species
CCAGACUCCUACGGGAGGCAGCAGUGGGGAAUAUUGCACAAUGGGGGAAACCCUGAUGCAGCGACGCCGCGUGAGCGAUGAAGUAUUUCGGUAUGUAAAGCUCUAUCAGCAGGGAAGAAAAUGACGGUACCUGACUAAGAAGCCCCGGCUAACUACGUGCCAGCAGCCGCGGUAAUACGUAGGGGGCAAGCGUUAUCCGGAUUUACCGGGUGUAAAGGGAGCGUAGACGGCGUCGCAAGUCUGAAGUGAAAGCCCGUGGCUCAACCGCGGAACCGCUUUGGAAACUGCAAGGCUGGAGUGCUGGAGAGGUAAGCGGAAUUCCUGGUGUAGCGGUGAAAUGCGUAGAUAUCAGGAGGAACACCGGUGGCGAAGGCGGCUUACUGGACAGUGACUGACGUUGAGGCUCGAAAGCGUGGGGAGCGAACAGGAUUAGAUACCCUGGUACCG